rnacentral:rRNA from 1 species
CCUACGGGAGGCAGCAGUGAGGAAUAUUGGUCAAUGGACGAGAGUCUGAACCAGCCAAGUAGCGUGAAGGAUGACUGCCCUAUGGGUUGUAAACUUCUUUUAUAUGGGAAUAAAACGUUCCACGUGUGGGAUUUUGUAUGUACCAUAUGAAUAAGGAUCGGCUAACUCCGUGCCAGCAGCCGCGGUAAUACGGAGGAUCCGAGCGUUAUCCGGAUUUAUUGGGUUUAAAGGGAGCGUAGGUGGAUUGUUAAGUCAGUUGUGAAAGUUUGCGGCUCAACCGUAAAAUUGCAGUUGAAACUGGCAGUCUUGAGUACAGAAGAGGUGGGCGGAAUUCGUGGUGUAGCGGUGAAAUGCUUAGAUAUAACGAAGAACACCGAUAGCGAAGGCAGUUCACUGGACUGCAACUGACACUGAGGCUCGAAAGUGUGGGUAUCAAACAGGAUUAGAUACCCGUGUAGUC